rfam:Rhizobium mesoamericanum STM3625 genomic scaffold, ANZ_1636
CCAGUUGGCCGGGCAGCCGCGCAUUACCAAUGCCGAAAGGCGGUAGGGUGAGGAAAGUCCGGGCUCCACGGAAACACGGUGCCGGAUAACGUCCGGCGAGGGCGACCUCAGGGAAAGUGCCACAGAAAGCAAACCGCCUGCCUCGGCAGGUAAGGGUGAAAGGGUGGGGUAAGAGCCCACCGCAUCUCCGGUAACGGCGAUGGCAAGGUAAACCCCACCGGGAGCAAGACCGAAUAGGGAUGACGUGGUAGGCGCGAGCCUUCCGGCCGGUUUCCAGGUCAGUCAUCCGGGUGGGUUGCGUGAGGCAGCGUGCAAACGUUGUCCCAGAGGAAUGGCUGCCACGUUCCGGCUUCGGCCGGGGCCAUACAGAACCCGGCUUACAGGCCAACUGGCGAA